GCAGGACCUACAGGUCCCAAGCCCGGAGUGACCGUACAGCUGGAGCGAGGGGACGAGCCCUGGGUGCACAUGCAGAAUGCCAAGGGGAGAGUGCACAUGAGAGCCAGCCACUCAGGUGUGUGAGGGAAGCUGUUCCCAGCUUGGCCACUGAACCAGCAUUUGUUGGGGUUCAGGGUGUCUGGUUAAUGGGGAGAUGGAUCAGGGCUAGUUCAGUAGCUUGCACGGCCUCUGCUGGGGCCCUGGUCACCUCUGUCAGCUUGGGUGCCUUGGUGGGAAAUUCAAGCAGAAUCUUCUAGGUGGUGACAGUGUUGUGGAGCAGAGUAGGGACGGGCUUCCAGAUAGAGACAGGGAAGGUGCAUGGGUGCAGGCCAGGUGUCAGCUCUGACAAAUAAACUCUCGUGUGUAUCUCUGCCUGGUCUCUGUCUUUCAGCUCGCUGGCCUGCUCCCAGUUCCCUGCUUUCCUUUCACCAGGUAGCCUCUGUACCCUCAGCUCACUUUCUGUCUCUGAAUUUGCCUCUUAGAACCUCAUGCAAGGGGAGUCCUGUGAGAUGUGUUCCUGGAGCACAGUGUGGUCCAGGCUCCCCACCUUCAGCCUGACACGGGUCCCUUCCUUUUGCAGAUGAGUAAGAUUCCACUGGGUGGCUCUGCCGUGUCUCCCCUGCACCUCUCCCUCGCCUGCAGCUGGAACCUGGGUGUGGACGCUGAUGUCGAUGUCGUUGUAUGAUGUGUGUUGAGCCCCUGCUUUCAGUGCCUCUAGGUCAGAAUCUGGGUGGCACAGGAGUUGCACAGGUUCUGCCUUUCUUCACAUUCCCACCAGCAUGGGUACUAUUUUCUGCUUUUUCAUAGGAGGCAUCCUAAUAGGAGUGAAGUGAUAUUGUGUUUUUUUUUUUUUUUUAUUGGUUGUUCAAAACAUUAGAUACUGUGGUUUUGAUUUGCAUUUCCUUAAUGGCCAGUCAUGUUCAGCAUAUCUCCAGGUGUUUACUGACCAUUUGUGUAUUUUCUUUGGAGAAAUGUCUACUCAAGUCUUUUGACCAUUGUUUUAAAGAUUUUCUUUUAAGUUGUAGAUGGACACAAUUCCUUUAUUUUAUUUAAUUAUUUAUUUUUGUUUGGUGCUGGGGAUCGAACCCAGUGCUUCACACAUGCUGUGUGAGCAUUCUACCACUGAGCUAUAACCCUAGCCUCCCUUUGCCCAUUUUUUUUAAUUGAGUCUUUUUUUGCUGUUGAGUUGUAGUAGUUCUUCAUAUAUUUUGGAUAUUAGCCCCUUAUCAGAUAUAUGAUUUGAAAAUAUUUUUCUAUUUUGUCGACUAAUCUUUUCAUUCUCAUGAUAGUGUCCUAUAAUGCAAAAAAUUUUUGAUUCUGAUGAAGUCCAGUUUAUCUAAUUUUUCUUUUAUUCCCUGUGCAUUUAGGUAUCACAUGUAAGGAAUCAUUGCUAAGCACGAGUCAUUAAGUCUGCCUACCGUGUUUUCUUCUAAGGAAUUUAUAGUUUUAGAUCUUACGUUUUGGGACUUUGAUCUAUUUUGAGCUAAUUUUUUUAUAUGGCACAAGGUGAGUCCAAUGCCAUGCUUCUGUGUGUGAAUACCCAGUUUUCCCAGCAAUACUGCUCAAUAGAUUUUCCUUUCCAUGCUGCAUAGUGUAUUAGUCAGCUCGGCUGCCACAACAGAGUACCACAGACUGGAUGGCUUGAACAACAGACGUUUAUUUCUCAUAGUCAUGGAGGCUGAAGUCCAGUUGAAGGUGCCAGUUAGUUCCUGGUGAGGGCUCUCUUCCUGACUUGCAGAUGGCUACUUUCUUGCUGUGUCCUCACAGGGCAGAGAAAAAGAGAUCUCUAGUGUCCCUUCCUCUCAUAAAAGCAUCAGCCCUAGCUGGGCAUGGUGGUACACACCUGUAAUCCCAGCCAUUCAGGAGGCUGGGGCAGGGAUUCCAAGGUUGAGGCCAUCCUGGGUCACUCAGUGGGGCCUAGAAUUUUAGGGGGGAGUGCAUGCUGGAAUGGGUGUAGCUUAGUGUAGAGCACCCUGGGUUCAAUCCCUGUACCUGAGGGGGGAAAAAAAAAAGCAACAGCCCUAUUGGAUCAGGUCCACCCCUAUAAGCUCAUCUAAUUAAUCGUUACCACCUUCUCAGGGGCCAUAUUUCCAAGUACAGUUCCAGUGUGGUUAGGAUUUCAGGAUGUGAAUUUUGGGGACCUAUUUAGUCAUUGCUUAAAACCAAUUGAUCGUAUCUGUGAAAAUUCAGUUCUGGCCUCUUUUCUUCCACUCUCCACGCCUGUCCUUAUGCCACUGUGCCAUGACUGAAUGUGGCUCAUCUGCCUGAGGUUCAUAUGUGGGAGGCCUGGUAUGUAGUGAUGUCAAGGGGCUGCAUCUCUCAGAGCAAGUGGAGCCUGGGGAAAGAUGAUUAGGUCAGGAGUGAGGAGCCAUCCUCAGGAGGAAUCAUUGCAUGUUUCAGAGCCUAGAGUUCUCUUGAGAAUGAAAGUUAUGGGUGAUCAGAAGGCAUUAUGGGGGGCUGAGUCUGUAGCUCAGUAUUGGAGUGCUUGACUAGCAUGUGUGAGGCACUGGGUUUGAUCCUCGGCACCACAUAAAAAUAAAUAAAAUAAAGAUACAUCAAAAACUAAAAAAAGAAUAAAAAAGAAAGGUAUGAAAAUACAAUAACAUUAUUUUAAAAAGGUGUUAUCGCAAUAGGAAGUGAAUUAAAAAAGGAGAUUGGUACUGAGAAUGGGGUAUUUCCUAUAAAGGCACCUGAAAAUAUGGAAGGGACUUUGGAACUGGGUAAUGGGCACAGGGUGGAAGAGUUUGGAGGAACAGCCUAGUAAAAGCCUAGAAUGCUAUAAAUGGAGAAUUAUGGGUGAUUUUGGUGAAGACUUAGUAGAUAGGAAGCUAGAAAUUCUUGGAGAUUGGUGAAGAGUUUAUGACCAGAAUGCAGAUAGAAAUAAGAACAUCCUGCUGGGAACCAGAGUAAAGGCCACCCUUGUCAGGCCACUGUGAAGAUCUCACUGCACUGUGUCCAUGCCUGAGGGCUUUGUGGUGGACCAAAUCUAAGGAUGGUGAAAACUGAAGACACUUCUAAACCAAAAAUUUAGGCUGCUGCCUGGUUACUUUCAACUGCUUAUGCUCAGAUUCAGGGGCAAAGGGGAGCAGCGUGGGAAGAUCUGGAAAAUUCACAGAGUCAAUAAAUACACAGAGUAAGUAAAUCUCUUUUCUUUAUAAACUAUCCAACUUCAUGUAUUUUAUUAUAGUAACAAACACAAAAUGAACUAAGAGUACACCCACACUGUUUUCAUUAUUAUAACUUUGUAGAAAGUUUUAAAAUUAGGACGUAUGAAUCCUCCAAUUUGUUCUUCUUUUUCAAGAUUGUUUUGGCUAUUUGGGGUCCCUUGAUGUUCCACAUGAAAUAUAGAAUGGGUUUUUUUGAAUCUGCAAAAAAUUUCAGGGUAGGUUUAUCACCUUAACAAUAUUAAGUCUUCCAAUCUAUGAGCACACGAUAUGUUUCCAUUUAUUUAUGUUUUUUUCAACUUACUGUGAUGUUUUGUAGCUUUCAAUGUAUGAAUCUUUUUAAAAAAUAUUUAUUUUUUAGUUUUUUAGGUGGACACAAUAUCUUUAUUUUAUAUUUAUGUGGUGCUGAGGAUCGAAUCCAGUGCCUUGUGCAUGCUAGGCAAGCGUCCUACCACUGCGCCACAACCCCAGCCUCUCAAUGUAUGAAUCUUUUGCCUCUUGAUUUAUUCCUUUCAAUGCUACUAUGAAUGAAAUUGUUUUUUUUCCUUUCCUUUUUAGUUGUUUAUCAAUACUAAAUGGAAACAAUUGUGUCUUGACUAAAAAAAUUUUUUUUGCAAUUGUAGAUGGACAGAAUGCCUUUAUUUUUAAAUUUUUAUGUGGUGCUGAGGAUCAAACCCAGUGCCUCAUGCAUGCUAGUCAAGCGCUCUGCCACUGAGCCCCAGCCCCAGCCCUGUGUUUUGACUUUGUGUCCCACAACUUGGCUGAAUUCAUUUGUUAGCUCUUAUGUACUAUUUUUGUGCAGUCCUCAGAGUUCUUGCCAGCUCUGGGCUGAGGUAUAAUUUUACUUCUAUUCCACUCCAGUUUGGAUGCCUAAUGCUUCCUUUUCUUGCCUGACUUCUCUAGUUAGAACUUCCAAUAUUAUGUUUAAUCGAAGUGGCCAAAGUGGGCAUCCUAACCUUGUUGCUGAUCUCAAGGCUGCUAGCUUUCCCUGUUAUGUAUAGUGUUAGGUUCUUCAUGUACACCCUUCCUCAACAUAGACAAAGUCACCUUCUAAUCCUAGAUUAUUGAGUGUUUUUAUCAUGAAACAGUGUUAAAUUCUGUGAAAUGCUUUUCUGUAUCAGUGAUAUUGUAAGUGGGUUUUCUUUAUUAAUACAGUGUGAUGAUCAUACAAAAUAAUCUUCAUAUGUUGUUGCCAUAUUUCAUUCCAGGAACAGAUCACACUUGGUCAUGGUUUAUAAUCCUUUAAAUAUACUUUUGAAUCUUACUAGGUGUUCCCUCUUUUUUAAAAAAUAUUUAAAAAAAAAUUUUUGAAGAAAUAAUAGUCCCAUACUUCUAAAAAUAUUUUUUAGUUGUAGAUAGACACAAUACCUUUAUUUACCUAUUUUUAUGUGGUACUAAGAAUCAAACCCAGUGCCUCUUAUAUGUGAGGCAAGCAAUCUGCCACUGAGCCACAAUCUCAGCCCACCCCAACCCUUUUUGUUUUGAGACAGGGUCUGGCUAAGUUUACCAGACUGGCCCUGAACUUGA
rnacentral:lncRNA from 1 species